rnacentral:rRNA from 1 species
UACGUAGGGUGCAAGCGUUGUCCGGAAUUAUUGGGCGUAAAGAGCUCGUAGGCGGUUUGUCGCGUCUGUUGUGAAAACCCGAGGCUCAACCUCGGGCCUGCAGUGGGUACGGGCAGACUAGAGUGCGGUAGGGGAGAUUGGAAUUCCUGGUGUAGCGGUGGAAUGCGCAGAUAUCAGGAGGAACACCGAUGGCGAAGGCAGAUCUCUGGGCCGUAACUGACGCUGAGGAGCGAAAGCGUGGGUAGCGAACAGG